rnacentral:misc_RNA from 1 species
UCUUUUCUUUUGAUAGGAGAGUUUUUAAAACCAGUGUUAUUUUUGUAAGUUUAAGAGAAGUUUGUGUAUUGAAUUUUUAGUAUUAAAGAGCUUUGUUAAACUUAGACUUAAGUUUAGGUCAUUUUGGGGGUUUAGCUCAGUUGGCUAGAGCAUCGGCUUUGCAAGCCGAGGGUCAAGGGUUCGAGUCCCUUAACCUCCAUUGGGCUUAUGUCCUAAAUUGUAAUUAAGUAUGUUUUUAAGCAACUUUAUUAAAGUAAUUGUUGGAAUGUGAAACAGAGGAAGUUAAAAUUUCUGGGUUAAGUUGAGAUCUGUUGAUAUUAAGAAGAAUCUCUAGAAGCAAAAGCAAGCUUUCGAUAAAACCCGAAGUUGUUUCGCUAAAGUGCAAGGAUUAAACAGGAUUGUAUUUUCCAGUAGCCUAUUUUAUAAACGAUCUGCAUUUAGUAAAUAGUUUUUAGUUAGGAAAUAAUGUAUAUUGCUAAGUGUGGUGUC